AAGCCAGUCAAUUAGUCUGGUUUUCUGAAUGUGUUUCUGUCACAGAAAUGUAGGUGAAACUGGCAAUAGUGAUGCCAUGUGACAAACCUAAAGGACAGCUGAGGUUGUUAAGGUCCCCGAAAAUGGCUACAAUA